AUGGCGACCAUGACGAUGAAAUCCCACGAAAGCUUAGAUUGACGUUCCGAUCUACAUAACGUCUUCACCAGCCAUAACUCAGAUAUUUUCUCCGCGUUACACGUAGUUAAUCUCUCCUCCCACUUGAAGCAUUCAAUCGAUCUCUUCGUAUCCUACCGUAAUCAACUGAACCUACGUCUAUAAAUAUCGCAUCGGACCUACCUUUGUGUAUGAGAAAUUUUAGGGUUAGUUUCUCAUAUUCUGUCAAGUAAGUUAAGGAUUUCACCUUCGAUGAAAAUCAUCGAUCAUCCCUUUGAUGAGAAAGUGUUGGGUUUCAUCAAGAGAUAUAAAUGUGUCUUUUGUCUUGAGAUACACCAGAACAACCUGCAAGGAUUUGCAAACUCGAGAAAAAUGAAGAAGCCAUAUGGUGGAGUGCUGCAUUCUGCCUUCGGAGAGGUCCAGAAAAAGAAUGUUUGGAGGUAUGUCUCUGCAUCUAAAAACUAAAGGAUCUAUAGUUGAUGGCUCUCUCUAUCCGGUUCUAGUCGGAAAACAAUGAGAGACCUAGAAAGAGGAACCAAUGGUUCUAAACCACCAUGUAUUGACACGAAAAAGAGCUUUCAAGAUCAAGACACGGCUAUUAUGUCUUCAUCAAUCGCAAUCUCCAAGCAGGAUAUUUAGUAUAGCGGCUGCUGACUUGACAGCAACUGAGCAGAGACGGAUUAAGUUUGAAGAGGGACGAAAGAGCUGUCAACAAAGUAAUCUUAAACCACAAGGAACCGGUGGUUCCAAUAUUUCAAGAAAUCGGCAAUCCUUUAUUUGAUUUGGAUAGCUUCAUCUUUCUGGAAGGAUUAAGUAUUUUUUUUGCUUAUGUUUUGUGUACACAUUGGUUUUCUAUUUGUUUGAGAC